AUGUCUGCUUUAAGGCCAGCAUGGGGUAAUCCAAAGGGAUUGACUGCAAAACCAGUAGCAGACAACACAUUCAUUGUAGAAUUUGCUUCCCAAUCAGACAACAAAAUAGUUAAAGAUGGGGGGCCAUGGACAGUAGGGAAACAUGUUGUUUUUUUUAACGAAUUUGAUCAGACUCUAAAGCCAUCAGAGGUGACAUUUGACAGAGUCAUGCUAUGGGCAAGGAUAAUGAACCCUCUGUUCGAAUUGAUGAAUAAAACAUGGGUGGAAUAUCUGGGAGCCAAACCAGGCAAGGUGGAGAAAGUUGAUGUGGAUGAACAAGGUAGAGCAUCCGGGAAUUGCUUGCGUGUUAGAGUCUCAGUUGGGGUUGCUCAACCUUUGAGGAGAUGGGUCACAGCUUUCUCACAGAAACACAAGGCAAUAGAAAUAUACGAGGUGAGAUAUGAAAGGCUUCCCCAUUAUUGUUUCUCUUGUGGUAUAAUUGGCCAUUCCUCUCUGGAAUGCCCAACACCUGGGGAGAGAGAUAAGGAGGGAAAGCUACCAUACAAUGCUAAUAAACUGUGUUUUAAAGAGGACAAAAAGAAGUAUGCCUCAAUGUACAUAUCUGAACCUAGUUCCCAGUCAAGUGGCAAAAGCACAUAUCAUGAAGACAAAAAUGGGGAUUCAAUUGUCCCUCCAAAAUCCAACGACGGGGAAAGGAAGAUAGAGGUGAAUGGGGCUCUCGAUAAGGUUACAUCGCUAAUGAAACAAAAGGAGCAAAUCUACAAACAAAAAGGUAAGAAGGAGGAGGACAGAGCAAGUAAAGCGUUGUUUUCUGCACAACUAGGUGGUGCAAAGAUCACUGGGCAGAAGAGGAAACACGUGAAGGUGUAUAGACUGAAAGGGCAGACGCAGGCCUCGGGAGACAAGAAAAUCCUUGAGGCCCCAAACCUGCCAUUAAUCUUAGUAGGGCAGGACGCAAACAAUGCCUACCCUACUCCAUCUCUAGCAACCAGUGUUGAUGAUGCUCUGAGUGACUCACACAAGAAUUGA
rnacentral:rRNA from 1 species